UGGGUUUUCUUUAGCAGUUGUUUAAAUUUCUGACCAGUUGAACAUUUUUGAUUUCAUAAAGCAAAUUAUGAUAGGGUCCGAAUUUUGAAGGAACUGCAUUAGGUGGAGAACAACACAGAGUGAAGUUACAGAAAUGCAAAAUAUCAUUUCUUUUCUAUAUAACGCAUACAUUAAUCAUUUCUAUCUUUUAAAAUAAAUUCUUAUAAUCA
rnacentral:lncRNA from 1 species